rnacentral:lncRNA from 10 species
CAGGUGGGCGGCCCUUCUGGGGGCGUGGCCAGGCAGGUGGGCGGCCCUUCCGGGGGCGUGGCCAGGCAGGUGGGCGGCCCUUCCGGGGGCGUGGGCAGGUGGGCGACCCUUGGGGGGCAUGGGCAGGAUUGCACUCACCAGCGUCUGAGGGAUCCGGAAGCCCCAGAUGUAGCCCCGUCCCCGGGACUUGGCAAGAGGAGGAACGCAGGCACAGACAGCCCCUGGGGGAUGCCAGGAGGGACCCCCCCACUCAGAACCCCACAGCAGGAGCUCAAGAAUGCACUCUGGGGCAGGGUGGCUGGAGGGCCCUGCACUGAAGCCCACGGUGCUGGCUGGUAUUGAUCCCACUCGCCCGUCUCAGCCUCUGGCUCCGGUCCCCUCCCUGCUCUGCCAGAGGUCCCAACAACCACAACCGUCUGUCACCCUCCCAGUGAGGCAGGAGAGCACCUGGCCCUGAGUCCCGUUUGUCCCAUUUGUCCAGUGGAGCAGCCACCGGCCCUGACCUGGACCACGUGCUGGGCGCCUCCUGGCAGCCCGUUCUGCUCCCGAAUGCCCCGGCUUAGUCAGUCUGGGAUGCGGCCCUGGACACCGGGCUUUAUGCAGCUCUGAAGUGAUCCCAGCACACAGCCCGGGUCAAGCUCAGCGCUCGGCAACCAUAGGCACCCAACAACGGGCUGCAGCCAUCAGUAACAACGGCAGCUCCAACGCCCAGAGAACUCACGGAGCAGACACACAUCAGAUGAAGACGCGGAGGCCUGAGCGCUGGGGGUCGCCCGGGGCUGCACAGCGGGUCAGAGGCCAACCCUGGGCGGAGCCAGGCCACACCCUCCCUCAAGGAUUCACAGUCUCCCCAAAGUAACCGCAACGAGGGACCCUCCCGUCACCAAACUUCCUUUCAGUCACUUCCGCUUGUACUAAUUCUGGCCCAACCGUUCAUUAUAUUUUUACAAUUCUUAUCUUGGUGUGUAUUUUUUGACCCUAAAAAUCCUAACUCCAUUCCAUCAAUAUUUUGUAUAUGCAGAUUUCUAGCACAGUAAGUCAUAAAAUGUGCCUCUCCUGGCA